UAUUUGAACCACUUGAAUUAUUGGGGAUUCUUGGCUGAAUAAAGGGCAACAAACAGAGUCUUCUUCUGUGUUUGAAAACGCUAGUGACAUUAAAGGGGGCUGGUGAACUUGAAUCCCACAAGUUUUUUUUUUAUCAGCAAACAAACAAUAACAACAGUAGCAAGAAUAUGGUUCCAAUUUUAUUUCAAGGAUUCCUCCCAAGAACUUUAAUAGGAGGAUUUCUAGGAUUUCUUCAAGAGGUCAUUAGAUGGAAGAAAGGUGGGUUUGAAUUGAGGAUGGUCCAGUAGUUAUGUCCUGAACUCUAUAUGAGUUGGAUUCCGUUGAAUUCAAUUGGAUUUAAAACAAAAUGGUUAUUAUCACGUAGAUUGAAUCAAGAUGAGCGCGUAGAAGGUUCUUGCAUGUUAUGGAAGACUAGAAUAAGGUAAGUUAAGAUUACCUUCUCUUAAGGAUUAUUUUGCAAAUUUCAUAAAUUCCAAAGAGUUACUAAAAUUCUUUCAAUGUUGGAUUGACUUCGUUAGAGCGAGCAAAAUCUACCAACCAUGGUUUAACAUUUUAUAGUGUAUAGUGUUAUUAUGUAGUACUGUUUACGUAUAAGUUGUGGCGCUGGAUAUUUUCAAGCUUUCAUUCUUUGGUAACACUUUAUAUUGCAUUUUACCAACUUGAUUUGAGUUGAUAAUAUUGUAAAAUGUAAAAGUUUAUUUGUGAAUGCACUUCCAAGUUAUUAAAUUAUCUUCAAAGGAAAUAUUGCUCACUGAAGAUAUUAAAAAAAAUGUACAAGACCUAUGGGUCAAAAUGCUUUAAAGUUAUAGUUUGAGGAGAAUUAUAUAUAUUGAAUAUGGAUCACACUUGCCAUGUGUGUAUCACUUGAUGUCCAUAGAGACAGUUCACCAUGCUAGCACUAUCGUCAAAAUCCCACGACUUUGGGUGAGACGGGCUCGUGACCAGGCGAUGGUCACUACAGUUAUCGAAUAUUGUUGCUUAUGGCAACUAUGGAACUCCCCACAAAAAGGUUUAAAGUUUAUUGAAGGUCCAUAAUCAUAGAAAGAGUUACAGUUUUAUAAAAAUGAUUUAAAUCCUUGAAAUGCUUAAAUGUUCAUCAUUUAUCACCACUAUUUUUGCAAAGUGUUUGACUUAUUACAUAUCAUGUGUAUUUUUUUUAUGUAUCCCGAAAGUAUCGCUUCAAUCUUAAGGAGUCAAUGAUACUUACGGGGUACAAUUUCUAUAGAAAUUGUACUCAGCCUCCUUUGUGAGGCAUCUUACCUUAUUGUUUCAGAUCCUACUCACUUUGGAGCUGACAGUGUGUGCUAGGUGUCUUCUCCAUCUUCCAGUUGCUUUUGGUGAGCCCACUACUACUUCUGUGGGUUCAUUGUUAUUAUAGUACUUCUUUUGGAUGAGCCGGGGAUUUAUGUCUCGUACCAUCAUUCUCGUGUACUUCCUUAGAGGUUCCAGGCACAGUUGUGGGAGGUCUAUGGGUUUAUGAGAACUAUCAUUUUAUCUUCAUGUUAUGCUGUUAUUUUUAUUUCUGCUACUUAUGUAUUUUGGCCAUUGGCUCAACUUAUGUUUCGAGACUAGAAGGAUGUUUUAUCAUCGAUACUUAUUAUUUU